rnacentral:rRNA from 1 species
AACGAACGCUGGCGGCAUGCCUAACACAUGCAAGUCGAACGAGACCUUCGGGUCUAGUGGCGCACGGGUGCGUAACGCGUGGGAAUCUGCCCUUGGGUUCGGAAUAACAGUUAGAAAUGACUGCUAAUACCGGAUAAUGUCUUCGGACCAAAGAUUUAUCGCCCAGGGAUGAGCCCGCGUAGGAUUAGCUAGUUGGUGAGGUAAAGGCUCACCAAGGCGACGAUCCUUAGCUGGGCUGAGAGGAUGAUCAGCCACACUGGGACUGAGACACGGCCCAGACUCCUACGGGAGGCAGCAGUAGGGAAUAUUGGUCAAUGGGCGCAAGCCUGAACCAGCCAUGCCGCGUGCAGGAAGAAGGCCCUCUGGGUUGUAAACUGCUUUUGAUAGGGAACAAAUGCCACUUGCGAGUGGAGCUGAGUGUACCUAUAGAAUAAGCACCGGCUAACUCCGUGCCAGCAGCCGCGGUAAU